rnacentral:lncRNA from 1 species
GCAAAGAGGACCACAUCCCCUCACCCCCCUGAAGCCUUUUCAUCCCUAAAGAGGACUGGCCCAGCCCCAGCCCGAAGGCCCUCAGUACCUGACGUGUUGUCAUGUGAAAUGCUGAUAAUAAGGUCUUUGGGGGCAUCUGCAACAAGAUUGUGAGCUGGCUUCAGGGAGGGACAAUUUGUUCCUCACACCUGGAAAAAACUCCCUCAGGGAAAAGAAAGUGGGAACAUCCCAGGAUGGACAAGUGACAACCAGCUCCAGGGCUCACACAUGUGGACAGAGGAUCAGACGCCAUUCCCAUCCCCCUCCCAGGGCUGAGCCGGCAUCCUGGGACCCCACAGCUUCCUCUCCCUGGAUGCUCCUGAGCUGGGAGCCACUCACUGUCCCGCUGGGCUCCUCCACCUCCCCACCCACCGGGGCUGUCUGCACGCCCCACCCUCCCAGGCCACACUCACAGGCCACACGGAGUCGGACGGUCCUCUGUGCGCUCACACCCUUUCUGGAGAAGUCCACAUGGCAGGGGAAGCAGCAGGGCAGAGGGCAUGAGGACCAGCCCCAAACCAGGAAGGAGCCACCCUGGCCAGCCUCGGAGGUGGGCAGUGCUAGGAGGGGACUGUCAGGGG